rnacentral:rRNA from 1 species
UACCGCGGCGGCUGGCACCAGACUUGCCCACCCCUUAUUCUACACCAUUUUUAGAGAUGUCAAAAGACUUUCUUAGCGAAAGUCACUCAGAAUAACCCUGUCAGGCUUUCGCCUAUUGCAGAGGUUUCGCGCCUGCUGCGCCCCAUAGGGCCUGGGUCCUUUUCUCAGUACCCAUCUCCGGGCUCCUCCUCUCAGAGCCCGUACCGGUUACUGGUUUGGUGGGCCAUUACCUCACCAACAGCCUGAUCGGUCGCAGUCCAAUCCAAAGGCCAUAUAGAUUUUGAUCAAAAACCAUUCCAGGUAUCUUGGUCUAUCGCGGUUUAGCCUCAGUUUCCCGAGUUUAUCCACGUCCUCUGGUUAUGUUGACUACGUGUUACUGAGCCGUGUGCCACGUAUUGCUACGUUGACUCGCAUGGCUA